AUACGGAGGGUGCAAGCGUUAUCCGGAAUCAUUGGGUUUAAAGGGUCCGUAGGCGGACUAUUAAGUCAGAGGUGAAAUCCCACAGCUCAACUGUGGAACUGCCUUUGAUACUGGUAGUCUUGGGUUAUAUGGAAGUAGAUAGAAUGUGUAGUGUAGCGGUGAAAUGCAUAGAUAUUACACAGAAUACCGAUUGCGAAGGCAGUCUACUACGUAUAUACUGACGCUAAGGGACGAAAGCGUGGGGAGCGAACAGGAUUAGAAACCCCAGUAGUCC
rnacentral:rRNA from 1 species